UUCCCUACACUGUAAAAUUUUUCCAGGAUUUCACAAGAUAUAACUGUAAUAUUUCACAGUUAAUUACAUUAUUACCACUUCACAGGCUUUAACUGUGAUAAUUCACAAUAUAAUACCGUAUUUAGACUUUUACUGUGAAAAUAAUGCAGGCGCGGGGCUUUUACAAGAAACUACUGUGAAUGCCGUCUUUUUUGAGUGGCAACUGCGGCAGCGUCAUCAGAGCUCUCUGAUCUACGUGGUCUCAUUCGGUGGAUUCAGACAGCGCAUUUUCUACAUUGACCGACGAUAAAUAAAGUUAUAAGGUGCUUCUUGGGCAUCAACCCAGAGACGGGCACAAAAUCUAAGAGGCAGAGAGGUCACAUGAACCAGCAAGUCUGCAC